CUCACCAUAUACGUAGCUGGUUAAAUUUCUCGACAAAGCCGUGUGAAAACAAGAACUGAAAUGUUGGGUCACGUGUUAAGCUACACAUGAUGCAUUUGGGGUUUCCCUUCAGAGGCUUGCUCUUAGUUUCCUCAAUUUGCAACAAGUUUGACAGACGAAUUGGAUCUCGACCGUGAGAGGACCUGCUUUAACAGCUGCUUGGACUUAAAAAAAAACAAACAAGUGCGACUUGCAUUGUUUUAACAACAUGAAGCAAGAAAUAAAGACGUCUUCGACAAAGAAGCCUAACAACAACCAAAAAAUGUCAAAUAAAGAUCAGAAGAGCAUCACGGAAUGCGCCCUCAACCUCCGAAAAAUUGGAGAUGUGGUCAAUUUAAAAUACAAACUUCUGGGCAUUUUAGCCAGAAAUAACGUGGCAGUGCUUAAAAAAAGUGAAAAAAAUAAAUAAAAAUGAAACAACAAUGUUUGUGUUGGGUCUUUCCCAUAGAAAAAGGUAGUAACCUUUAUGAUGUAUCAGAAACGCAAAAAUGAACGUGUACAGUUCCAAGGAUCGAAGCCUGGGCUUGAAAGACUCUUGGGAGUGUCCGCGCGUUUUCUUCAGAACGGCUGUUCUUGGAACUCUGCUGGGUGCGCCAAAACUCUUCAGAAGACAUUGGGAAAUAAAACAUGUUUACCUUUCCAUAUCGUGUGUCAAGAUAAAGGGAAGCAAAGGAAUGCUGGUGAACUGUACAUAGGGUGUUGAGGAUUUCCAUGCCUUUACCCUAUCCACAUGCUUUCAUUGGUUAACACUGGAGGAGAGUUAGGAACGCGGGACUCGAUCCUCCAUAGCAAUGCUAAUACUUAAUGACGUGAAAACGUUGCUUUAUAUAUAGUGAUUGACUUGCUAUGUGAUAAUAAUAAACGAAUACAGUUACUUUACUGAUAAGACGUUUUAAUGUAGAGGAAAUAAACUCACGCCUACAAUAUAUACUGGUCUAGUUCUGGAACCAUGAGAUUAAAGAAGCUACAUGCAUUAGAUUGAAGUCAAAAUGCUUCGUGUUUUUGAUUGGUGGAAUUAUGCUUGUUGUGUAAAAAUAUACUUUUCUUCUGCA